UCAUGCCUACAACAUAGCGUUAAUGCGCCGGAUCCCAUUAGAACUCCAUAGUUAAGCAUGCUCGGGCUAGAGUAGUACUGGGAUGGGUGACCACUCGAGAAGUCCUAGUAUUUUACAUGCC
rnacentral:rRNA from 1 species